GUUACCAUCCAUUGACCCAUCAGGCAGCUCCCCAUCUUCCUCUUCUGCUCCUCUGGCAAGUUUUUCCGGCAUACCAGGAACAAGGGUUUUCCUGCAAGGGCCAGCUCCUGUUGGGACUCCUAGUUUCAACAGACAACAUUUUUCUCCCCAUCCUUGGACAAGCGCCUCAAACUCAUGUGACUCUCCUAUUCCAUCUGUUUCUUCGGGAUCAUCUUCACCUCUUUCAGCCACUUCUGCCCCACCAACGUUGGGCCAACCAAAAGGAGUCAGUGCCAGUCAAGAUCGAAAGAUACCUCCCCCAAUUGGAACAGAGAGACUGGCCCGAAUUCGGCAAGGAGGGUCUGUUGCACAAGCCCCGGCGGGGACCAGUUUUGUCGCUCCCGUUGGACACAGUGGAAUCUGGUCAUUUGGUGUCAAUGCUGUGUCAGGCUUAUCAGGUUGGUCGCAAUCUGUGAUGGGGAACCAUCCAAUGCAUCAACAAUUAUCAGACCCAAGCACAUUCUCCCAACAUCAGCCAAUGGAGAGAGAUGAUUCUGGAAUGGUAGCCCCCUCUAACAUUUUUCAUCAGCCUAUGGCAAGUGGUUUUGUGGAUUUUUCUAAAGGUCUGCCAAUUUCCAUGUAUGGAGGCACCAUAAUACCCUCUCAUCCUCAGCUUGCUGAUGUUCCAGGAGGCCCUCUGUUUAAUGGACUUCACAAUCCAGAUCCUGCUUGGAACCCUAUGAUAAAAGUUAUCCAAAAUUCAACUGAAUGCACUGAUGCCCAGCAGAUUUGGCCUGGCACGUGGGCACCUCAUAUUGGAAACAUGCAUCUCAAAUAUGUCAACUAAGUUAGAAGGUCUUUACUCUUUAGCCUUGUUUAAGAAACCUAUGACCUUGGAAGAACCAUGGGGAUUUUUUUUUAAUGUGCCUAAGAAAUUUUCUCUGAGGCUUUAGCAAUGGAAAUUUGAUUGCCCAUUGUAUAAGAACAAAUUGAUUUCCUAUCCACCUGAUUAUGUUCUCUGGUUAGUUUAGCCAUUUUGAACUUAAGAUCAUAUGACCUUAGUGCUUUUGGCUAAACAUACAGAAUACUACUUGUAUGCAGAAGAGAAUUAGUUGAUUACAUGUUUCAACCUUUUAGGGUGAUAAAUACAUGUAUAAUUGUUUACAUACUUAAAAGGAAAAAGUUGAGUAAAUUUCUUGUCAUAUAGUGGCUCUACGUAAUGUAGCCUGUAUUAAUGUGAAAUAUUUACCAGAAUA
rnacentral:lncRNA from 1 species